UCGCCCAUUAAAGCGGUACGCGAGCUGGGUUCAGAACGUCGUGAGACAGUUCGGUCCCUAUCCGUCGUGGGCGUAGGAAAUUUGAGAGGAGCUGUCCUUAGUACGAGAGGACCGGGAUGGACAUACCUCUGGUGUACCAGUUGUCGUGCCAACGGCAUAGCUGGGUAGCUAUGUGUGGACGGGAUAAGUGCUGAAAGCAUCUAAGCAUGAAGCCCCCCUCAAGAUGAGAUUUCCCAACUUCGGUUAUAAGAUCCCUCAAAGAUGAUGAGGUUAAUAGGUUCGAGGUGGAAGCAUGGUGACAUGUGGAGCUGACGAAUACUAAUCGAUCGAAGACUUAAUCAA
rnacentral:rRNA from 1 species